rnacentral:rRNA from 1 species
UACGAAGGGGGCUAGCGUUGUUCGGAAUUACUGGGCGUAAAGCGCACGUAGGCGGACAUUUAAGUCAGGGGUGAAAUCCCAGAGCUCAACUCUGGAACUGCCUUUGAUACUGGGGGUCUUGAGUAUGGAAGAGGUGAGUGGAAUUCCGAGUGUAGAGGUGAAAUUCGUAGAUAUUCGGAGGAACACCAGUGGCGAAGGCGGCUCACUGGUCCAUUACUGACGCUGAGGUGCGAAAGCGUGGGGAGCAAACAGG